UUUAAUAUUUAUUUAUUAAUUUUUUUUUUUUUAUUUAUAAAUUAUUAAAAAUAAUUAUAUAAUUUAAUGUUUUAGUAAUGUUUAAUGAAAAAAUAAUUUUAAUAAUAGCGUAUUAUGUAUUGUGAAAGAUUAUUGAAAUAUUUUGAAAAAUUUUUAUUAUAAAAGAAAAUUUUAUUUAUUGUACCUUGUGUAUCAGGGUUUAUCAAAUAACUAAUAAUUAUUUAUUAAUCUCGAUUUUAUAAGAGUUAACAAUUUAAAAAAGUUAAUGUGUCAAAAUUAUUUUUAAUAAAUUGUUAGAAAUGAAAUGUUAUUCGUUUAUAAAGGUAUCUAGUUUUUUUAGAAAUAAAUUUAAUUUACAAAUUUUUAAUUUUUUGUUUAUUUAUUAAAAUGAAAAAAUUAUUGAUUUGAAUAUCUUAAGGGAUAAGCUUUAAGAUAAAUUUUUAAAAAUUAAUAAUUAUUAUAUAAAAUGUAUGUGUAGAAUUAGCAAUCAUUUAUAAGUUUGUUAUAAAUUAUUUUAUAAUUAAUAUUAUUUAUUUAUAUUUUAAUUUUUUAUAAAAAUUUUUUCAUAAAUUUUAUAUGAAAAGUAAUAAUGAUAAAAUUAGUAUAUUUUUUUUGUUUAAGUAAGUUUUAAUGAUAAGUUUAUGUAAAGAACUCGGCAAAUAUUAUACUCGCCUGUUUAACAAAAACAUGUCUUUUUGAGUUAUUUUUAAAGUCUGACCUGCCCACUGAAAUUUUUGAAUGGCCGCAGUAUUCUAACUGUGCAAAGGUAGCAUAAUCAUUAGUCUUUUAAUUGAAGGCUGGUAUGAAUGGUUGGACGAAGUAUAAGCUGUUUCAUUUAAAUUUAUGAUAGAAUUUUAUAUUUUAGUAAAAAAGCUAAAAUUUUAUUAAAAGACGAGAAGACCCUAUAAAUCUUUAUAUCUAUUAUUAUUUAAAUUUUUUAGAUUAUUUUUGUUUUUAUAAUAAUAAAUAUUUUGUUGGGGUGAUGUUAAAAUUUAAUAAACUUUUAAUAAUUAAAAGUCAUUAAUUUAUGAUUUAUUGAUCCGUUAAUAACGAUUAUAAGAUUAAGUUACUUUAGGGAUAACAGCGUAAUUUUUUUGGAGAGUUCUUAUCGAUAAAAAAGUUUGCGACCUCGAUGUUGGAUUAAGAGAUAUUUUUAGGUGUAGCCGCUUAAAUAUAAAGUCUGUUCGACUUUUAAAUUCUUACAUGAUCUGAGUUCAGACCGGCGUAAGCCAGGUUGGUUUCUAUCUUUAAAAAAUUAUAAUACUUUAGUACGAAAGGACCAAGUAUUAAAAUAAUUAUAUUUUAAAAUAAGAAUAUGAUUAAUUAUAAU
rnacentral:rRNA from 1 species